rnacentral:rRNA from 1 species
CCCUUAGAUGUUCUGGGCCGCACGCGCGCUACACUGACGAAUGCAACGAGCUUAUAACCUUGUCCGAAAGGUCUGGGUAAUCUCCAAAUUUCGUCGUGAUGGGGAUAGAUUAUUGCAAUUAUUAAUCUUCAACGAGGAAUGCCUAGUAAGCGCAAGUCAUCAGCUUGCGUUGAUUACGUCCCUGCCCUUUGUACACACCGCCCGUCGCUCCUACCGAUUGAAUGGUCCGGUGAAAUCCUCGGAUCGAGCCGUGGGGCAACUCCGGUUCGAGAAGUUGAUUAAACCUUACCAUUUAGAGGAAGGUGAAGUCGUAACA